UGGCGAACGGGUGAGUAACACGUGGGUAACCUGCCCAUCAGAAGGGGAUAACACUUGGAAACAGGUGCUAAUACCGUAUAACACUAUUUUCCGCAUGGAAGAAAGUUGAAAGGCGCUUUGCGUCACUGAUGGAUGGACCCGCGGUGCAUUAGCUAGUUGGUGAGGUAACGGCUCACCAAGGCAACGAUGCAUAGCCGACCUGAGAGGGUGAUCGGCCACACUGGGACUGAGACACGGCCCAGACUCCUACGGGAGGCAGCAGUAGGGAAUCUUCGGCAAUGGACGAAAGUCUGACCGAGCAACGCCGCGUGAGUGAAGAAGGUUUUCGGAUCGUAAAACUCUGUUGUUAGAGAAGAACAAGGAUGAGAGUAAAC
rnacentral:rRNA from 1 species